AUGUCAUGGGUAGAAGAGGCAAGACUCACCUUAGCCAUGUUGAAGGAUGGAUAUUUUGAAAAAGUCUUGGUCAGAACAUCAUCAUUCACUUCAUUUCCAAGAUCACCACAAAACAAACGGAACUUACUUUCAGGCCAGUCAGCUAACGUCAGAUCCUCCCAGCAUUGCCCAGCUGCCUUUCGAGGAACUGCCUUUUUGUUUGCUUCAACUUUCUUGUCUUUGUCAUUAUCUGCAAUAGCAGCCUUCACCGUGGCGAGAGCCUCUGGGCUGAUUAUCUGCGAGUCUCUCUGGAACAGUUAUUGCGCGAAUGGGGAGUUAUUACCUGCUGGACUUGGGGCAUGGGGUAGACGGCGUUGUACGCCGGCGCCGGCUGCGCGGGGGCCACCGUCGGCCAGGUAG
rnacentral:rRNA from 1 species